GACGAAGGAUGCAAGCGUUAUCCGGAUUCAUUGGGUUUAAAGGGAGCGUAGGUGGCCUUAUAAGUCAGUGGUGAAAUCUCUGGGCUUAACCCAGAAAUUGCCAUUGAUACUGUAGGAGUUGAGUAUAGAUGCCGUUGGCGGAAUAUGACAUGUAGUGGUGAAAUACAUAGAGAUGUCAUAGAACACCGAUUGCGAAGGCAGCUGACGAAACUGUAACUGACACUGAGGCUCGAAAGUGCGGGGAUCAAACAGG
rnacentral:rRNA from 1 species